AUUGAACGCUGGCGGCAGGCCUAACACAUGCAAGUCGAACGAGUGGCGGACGGGUGAGUAAUGUCUGGGAAACUGCCUGAUGGAGGGGGAUAACUAAUGGAAAAGGUAGCUAAUACCGCAUACCAUCAGAUGUGCCAAGAUGGGAUUAGCUUGGUGGGGGGGUAAAGGCUCACCAAGGCGACGUUCCCUAGCUGGUCUGAGAGGAUGACCAGCCACACUGGAACUGAAGCACGGUCCAGACGCCUACUGGAGGCAGCAGUGGGUCAUAUUGCACAAUGGGCGCAAGCCUGAUGCAGCCAUGCCGCGUGUAUGAAGCAGGCCUUCGGGUUGUAAAGUACUUUCAGCGGGGAGGCGUUACCCGCAGAAGAAGCACCGGCUAACUCCGUGCCAGCAGCCGCGGUAAUAC
rnacentral:rRNA from 1 species